AAGAUAUCAAAUUCAUUUAAAUAUUUAGUAUAAGAACCAAAUAAACCGAUUGCCCGCGGUAAACCGCGGGUUAAAUCCUAGUAUGUAUAUAUAUAUAUAUAUAUACA
rnacentral:sRNA from 1 species